UACGGGGGGAGCAAGCGUUGUUCGGAUUUACUGGGCGUAAAGGGCGCGUAGGCGGCCACCGCAAGUCGACUGUGAAAUCUCCGGGCUUAACUCGGAAAGGUCAGCCGAUACUGCGGGGCUAGAGUGCAGAAGGGGCAACUGGAAUUCUCGGUGUAGCGGUGAAAUGCGUAGAUAUCGAGAGGAACACCUGCGGCGAAGGCGGGUUGCUGGGCUGACACUGACGCUGAUUGUGCGAAAGCUAGGGGAGCGAAGCGGGA
rnacentral:rRNA from 1 species